CAUCAUCCUGUUUUGUAUUUACAGGAUAAAGAAAAAGAAGAGAAAAUCUGAAUCCCAGGAAUCAAGGCCAUCAAACGAAUCAAGAGAAGGACAGGAGUUUGAAAUGUCACAACA